AAGGAAGUGGCAGAGCGGUCAUGCACUUGACUUGAAAUCAAAGUAUGGGGGUUCAAUUCCUCCCUUUCUCG
rnacentral:tRNA from 1 species